UUCUCCUGGAAAACGGGUGGUAAUGCCGGAUGCUCCAGUUGAUCGCAUGGUCUUCUGGGAAAGCUUUCGCGGUAUGGGAUGGGGUCGCGUCCUAUCAGCUUGACGGCGGGGUAACGGCCCACCGUGGCUUCGACGGGUAGCCGGCCUGAGAGGGCGACCGGCCACAUUGGGACUGAGAUACGGCCCAGACUCCUACGGGAGGCAGCAGUGGGGAAUAUUGCACAAUGGGCGCAAGCCUGAUGCAGCGACGCCGCGUGAGGGAUGGAGGCCUUCGGGUUGUAAACCUCUUUUAUCGGGGAGCAAGCGAGAGUGAGUUUACCCGUUGAAUAAGCACCGGCUAACUACGUGCCAGCAGCCGCGGUAAUACGUAGGGUGCAAGCGUUAUCCGGAAUUAUUGGGCGUAAAGGGCUCGUAGGCGGUUCGUCGCGUCCGGUGUGAAAGUCCAUCGCUUAACGGUGGAUCCGCGCCGGGUACGGGCGGGCUUGAGUGCGGUAGGGGAGACUGGAAUUCCCGGUGUAACGGUGGAAUGUGUAGAUAUCGAAAAAGAACACCA
rnacentral:rRNA from 1 species